rnacentral:misc_RNA from 1 species
AAGUCGUAACAAGGUUUCCGUAGGUGAACCUGCGGAAGGAUCAUUAACAACGUAUCCACGUUUAUCAACCAACUGUGAACUUGUUUUCAAAUCUCCAACUGUUGUCUUACAGUCCCGGAUGGUUCCAUCGCGAACCAGCCAUAUGGGAGUGUAAGAUGAUGACUAUUUUAAACACCAUUCUAACCGUACUUUUUACUAGUUGACUUUAUCUGUUGUGAAUUGGAAUUUCGAUUUCAAUUCUCACACGUUUCUUAAUUGAACGAUAAAUUUACAACUCUUGGCGAUGGAUAUCUUGGUUCUC